AGAAAGAUGGCGGCGGCGGCGGCGGCUGGCGCGGCCUCGGGGCUGCCGGGGCCGGUGGCCCAAGGGCUGAAAGAGGCGCUGGUGGAUACGCUCACCGGGAUCCUGUCUCCGGUGCAGGAAGUGCGGGCGGCCGCCGAGGAGCAGAUCAAAGUGCUGGAGGUGACAGAGGUGUAGCGUAAGCACUGUCAGCCGCGAAGGGAGCCCUCAAGGAUCCAGACGCGCUCCUGGGCAUGUGGCGGGCACUGAGCCCAGCGGAAGGCGGCCACGCUCGGACAAAGGCCAGUGGCAGAGUUUUCUUUUUCUUUUCAGCUGUGGUUUUGUGGUGCUUACCGACCCCCGUGAGAAAGGGGCUUCUCCAGAGCCCCACUCAGAACCCCUUCUUCCCAGAGCAGUCCUUGUGCCUGGUUCUUCCUCCCAUAGCUUCCCUGGCUGUCCAGGCAUUGCCGGCUCUUGUGCUGCUAGUAGACCAGCAGCAUGCAUUUCUUAACUUAUCCUCUGCCCUCCUUGCUCUCCUUUGGAUCGUCCCUUCUAAGCUGAGUUUUAGCAGCAAAAUGUUUUUUGCCUAGUGAGCCAAAAUGAGAGAGAGGAGCAAGGAAGACAAGAGAGGGGAGCAGAGACUACAAGGCCGGAGGGGAUGGUUAAGAGAGAAGGGAGACGGUUUCUUAGAAAGGAGGUCAGGGGGUACCGCUCAGGAUUGGAUCGCAGGUGUAAUCCAGACCACGGAGAGCCAGAGUGAGAGCCCGGAGUCACGGAGUGGGUCAGCCUUAUUCGCCUUGGGGAAAGGGAUGAGAGAAAUUAAGUUUCCUAACGAAAAGGGCUUUAGAAAGCUCUCCUCAUGCAGCCUGAUUGGGGUAGUCCCCCUUGGGCUUCACUUCAUAGAUCGAAUCUUAGUUUAAGCCGAACUGAUCCUUUAAAGGGAGACACAACAAAGCAGCCAAGUGUAUCUGUGCUUCUUUGUAUUUUCCCUGCCUUAAUCAUCCGAAAGUAAGUGAUUCAGCUGUUCUUUCUACUGCUUUCUAAAGAAAUGAUGUUAGUUUCAACAAAACUAGAAAUCCACCAACACACCCUGAAAUGAAGGUCCUUUUUUCUUUACAGAUUACUUAUUUAUACUUCUUCAAAAAAAUACUGUAUGAUCUCUGUCGAGUGAAUAUCUGCAAAUAGGAUUUUUACUUCUUCACAGAAGUCAUCAAUGAUAAGGGCAAGGGCAUUAAUCAGAUUUAAAGUAAGAGAACUUGAGGGUAUUUUCUGGCUUUUCAUUUUGUGCAUUAUUUUUAUAGCACAGAAUUCACCAUCAACACCAUACCACCGCUAUCAUACCUUAAUUUGGCGUGCACCUGGCAGAACUGACCGUAGACCCCCAGGGGGCGCUGGCCAUCCGCCAGCUGGCAUCUGUCAUCCUGAAGCAGUACGUGGAAACACACUGGUGUGCCCAGUCGGAGAAGUUCAGGCCUCCCGAGACUACAGAACGGGCAAAAAUCGUCAUCCGGGAGCUGCUGCCCAGCGGGUUGAGAGAGUCGAUAAGCAAGGUGCGCUCCAGCGUGGCCUAUGCCGUGUCAGCCAUCGCGCACUGGGACUGGCCUGAAGCCUGGCCCCAGCUCUUCAACCUGCUCAUGGAGAUGCUGGUGAGCGGAGACUUAAACGCAGUCCAUGGAGCCAUGCGAGUGCUGACAGAAUUCACUCGCGAGGUAACAGACACCCAGAUGCCCCUCGUGGCUCCUGUCAUUCUCCCAGAGAUGUACAAGAUCUUCACCAUGGCCGAGGUGUACGGGAUUCGAACCCGGUCCCGAGCCGUGGAGAUCUUCACCACUUGUGCCCAUAUGAUCUGCAACAUGGAGGAGCUGGAGAAGGGUGCCGCCAAGGUGCUGAUCCUCCCUGUGGUGCAGCAGUUCACAGAGGCCUUUGUCCAGGCCCUCCAGAUCCCCGACGGCCCCACGUCCGACAGCGGGUUUAAGAUGGAAGUCCUGAAGGCAGUGACAGCCCUGGUGAAAAACUUCCCAAAGCACAUGGUGGCCUCCAUGCAGCAAAUUCUGCCUAUUGUGUGGAACACCCUAACAGAAAGUGCGGCUUUUUAUGUGAGGACGGAGGUCAAUUACACAGAGGAAGUAGAAGACCCUGUGGAUUCGGACGGUGAAGUCCUGGGCUUCGAAAAUCUCGUUUUCAGCAUUUUUGAAUUUGUGCACGCUCUCCUAGAAAACAGCAAAUUCAAAAGCACUGUUAGGAAAGCCCUGCCCGAGCUGAUUUACUACGUCAUCCUGUACAUGCAGAUCACCGAGGAGCAGAUUAAAGUGUGGACGGCCAACCCCCAGCAGUUCGUCGAGGAUGAAGAUGACGACACCUUCUCCUACACGGUUAGGAUCGCAGCUCAGGACCUGUUGCUGGCUGUGGCCACUGAUUUCCAGAAUGAGAGUGCGGCAGCCCUGGCCGCUGCAGCCACACGGCAUCUGCAAGAAGCUGAGCAGAGCAAAAACAGCGGCACGGAGCACUGGUGGAAGAUCCACGAGGCGUGCAUGCUCGCGCUCGGCUCAGUGAAGUCCAUCAUCACUGACAGUGUGAAAAACAGCAGGGUCAACUUCCACAUACACGGGUUCCUGACCAACGUCGUCCUGGCAGACCUCAACCUCUCAGUGUCUCCUUUCCUCUUGGGCCGGGCCCUUUGGGCUGCCAGUCGGUUCACUGUUGCUAUGUCCCCUGAAUUGAUCCAGCAGUUUCUUCAGGCAACAGUUAGUGGUCUUCAUGAGACACAACCCCCGUCAGUUCGAAUUUCUGCUGUGAGAGCCAUCUGGGGGUACUGUGACCAGCUGAAGGUCUCGGAGAGCACCCACGUGCUACAGCCCUUCCUCCCCAGCAUCCUGGAGGGCCUGAUUCACCUGGCAGCCCAGUUCAGCUCCGAGGUGCUCAACCUCGUGAUGGAGACCCUGUGCAUCGUGUGCACGGUGGACCCGGAGUUCACGGCGAGCAUGGAAAGCAAGAUCUGCCCCUUCACCAUCGCCAUCUUCCUGAAGUACAGUAACGAUCCUGUGGUCGCCUCGCUGGCUCAAGACAUCUUCAAGGAGCUGUCCCAGAUCGAAGCCUGUCAGGGCCUGAUGCAGAUGAGGCUGAUUCCCACCCUGGUCAGCAUCAUGCAGGCCCCCGCCGACAAGAUCCCCACAGGGCUCUGUGCCACGGCCAUUGAUAUCCUGACCACGGUUGUGCGGAACACGAAGCCACCCCUCUCCCAGCUGCUCAUUUGCCAGGCUUUCCCCGCCGUGGCCCAGUGCACCCUCCACACAGACGACAAUGCCACCAUGCAGAACGGUGGAGAGUGCUUGCGGGCCUACGUGUCAGUGACGCUGGAGCAGGUGGCCCAGUGGCACGACGAGCAGGGCCACAAUGGGCUGUGGUACGUGAUGCAGGUGGUGAGCCAGCUCCUGGACCCCCGCACCUCGGAGUUCACUGCGGCCUUCGUGGGCCGCCUGGUGUCCACCCUCAUCUCCAAGGCGGGGCGGGAGCUGGGGGAGAACCUGGACCAGAUCCUCCGGGCCAUCCUCAGCAAGAUGCAGCAGGCAGAGACGCUCAGCGUCAUGCAGUCCCUGAUCAUGGUGUUCGCCCACCUGGUGCACACCCAGCUGGAACCCCUCCUGGAAUUCCUGUGCAGCCUCCCGGGGCCGACUGGCAAGCCUGCCCUGGAGUUCGUGAUGGCCGAGUGGACCAGCCGGCAGCACCUCUUCUACGGGCAGUACGAGGGCAAAGUCAGCUCCGUGGCACUGUGCAAGCUGCUGCAGCACGGCAUCAACGCGAACGACAAGCGGCUGCAGGACAUCCGCGUGAAGGGGGAGGAGAUCUACGGCCUGGACGAGGGCGUCCGCACCCGCUCCAAAGCAGCCAAGAACCCUGAGCGCUGGACAAACAUUCCUUUGCUGGUCAAGAUCCUGAAGCUGAUUAUCAACGAGCUGUCCAACCUCCUGGAGGCCAGUGCUGCCCGCCAGGCCGCCCCUGCAGAGUGGAGCCAAGGUGCCCAGGCCCACCUCCCCCGAGACGGAAUCCGGGCACAGCAAGUUACACACGUUCAGAGUAGCGAUCGGGUGGAUCGAGUCCCCGAGGUCCUUCACACACGUUCCUGCACACCUGCCCCGGGGGCCAGCCUUGUGGGAGCACAGAGCCCAUUUCCAGGGUCUGCCUCGCAGCGCCUCGGGCAGCGGGUGGGGUGCGCAGCCAGGGGUGCACCUUCCUGGCCUGGCGCUUCUCCAGGGCCUCCCGCCUUUUCUGUCCCCACCAGCAGGUGCAGGUCUUCCCCUCAGAUGUGUUGGGAGGGUCUGACCAUCCUCCUUCUCUUCCGCUGGGGCCUCAGGCCUCCGUGCGGGAAUGCGCGGGGCUCAUCAGUCCUGGCAGGUUUGCACGGGGGCGGGGCACGUGUGCUCCAGCAGCUUCUCACCUCCAAGCAGAUGACGCCAACGACAUGUGGGAGGACCAGGAGGAGGACGACGAGGAGGAGGACGGCCUAGCUGGCCACCUCUUAUCUGACAUCCUUGCCACAGAGGAGGACUACUAUGAGGAUGAUGAGGACGAUGACCCUGACGCCCUGAAGGACCCCCUCUAUCAGAUUGAUCUGGAGGCAUAUCUCACAGACUUCCUCUGCCAGUUCGCUCAGCAGCCCUGCUACGUUAUGUUCUCGGGCCACCUUAACGACAACGAGAGGCGGGUUCUACAGACCAUUGGCAUCUAGAAGUCCCUCCUGGCCCGGCCACGAUCCGUUUUGCAGCCCUCACUGGCCUUGAGGUGCACUUUCAUCUCAGCCUGGAGCGGCCUCCUGACUCAGCCUGCGGUCCCUGCAGAGUGACACGGACAGUCCAGACCACACUCACCUGUGCUGUCGCUAGGAACGCCGGAACGAGGGACCUUUCCCCAAGAACCCUGAGGACACCUGUCUCUAGAACCUCUUCCUCCCCAGCUGUGCCCCCAUCCCUGUCCCCAGAGUCCUCUGCUGGCCCGUCCAGAAACGCAGGGCCCGGAAGGACGGUGUGCUGUGGAUGAUCUUCCCGCCUCAGGGGCCCAGAAGUCAGACCGUUUGUGUUCCAGACAGACCUGUGUGCUUUCAGAGGACAUCGGAUGUGAUCGGACGGGAGUGCCCUUGAGAGAGGAUGGUGCCCUCUGCCCUCCCAGAGGCAAGACCGGGUCUCGGGGGAGCAAGAAGAGGCAGCCCCGGGGACCGCCUGCUCCCUCGACGACACUAAGACUCCCGGCGAAGGACGUCACCUCGGUUCUGCCUCAUCGCAUGACACAGCCCCUCCCCUGAAGCUCCUCCUCUGUCCACCUGCACGCACACGAGAGAGCCAGACAGAUGGCAACCUGUUUUCCCUUUUUUAGGAAAAAAAAAAAUGGAGGAAAAACAGAUUUUUUUUAAAAAGUCCACCUGACCCAACUAUAUUUAAUAUGCCCGUCCCCACACGUCACCACGCAGCCUGACAUUCAGGGGUCCCCUCCCUCGGGAAUGCUCUAAAGUGGUUCAGUUGUAGCCCUCAAA